rnacentral:rRNA from 1 species
AUGAUGUGCAACAAAUGCAAAGAUUUCAGACGCCUGACUAGGGAAUGCAAACUCCCAAACUGCAUUAUCUGUGAAAAAAAUUCUCACAUUACAGAGGAUUGUAACUGGUUCAAGCAGAUAAAAUCACUUCCCAAGUUUGUAGGAUAUGCAGCUAGAGGGUUGGGAGUGUUGCUGAUACAGAACUCUAAGGAAGUUGUGAGCAGUGAGCAAAUCAAUCCAAUGGCAAUCAUCACUAUUGCUUCUGGAGAAAUUAAUGAAACUCAGUUUUUGGAAGGAUUUAACUAUAUGUUCAAGUGGGCAUGGCAAUGGAGAUGCAAAAAACAUGGAGAUAGAGCUUAUCUUAUGAGAUUUGCAAACAAAAGCAGACUGAUUGAACUUGACAAAUUUGGGAAUUUUAACCUCCUGGGGACAAAAGCUGUCAUCAAUGUAGACAGUUGGACUUAUGACACUCAAGCCAUAGGGAAGCUACACACUGUGUGGGUGAAGAUAUGGGAAGUGCCUGAAUGCUUCAAACACUUCUUUGGUACUUGUGAGGUGGCUGCUACAAUUGGUCCAGUGCUGGAGAUUGACAUGACAAUAAUUCUGCAGGAAAAAAGAAGAGCCAAGGUGGGGGUGAUAGACUUUGAAAAAAAUCCCCAAGCACACUAA